rnacentral:pre_miRNA from 1 species
NNNNNNNNNNNAAAAAGUCAUCAACAACAAAGUUGUAUAACUCAUCAAGAUCUAUAACUUCUAUUUUAUUCAUUUCCUCAUCCAACAAAGUGAUGGUAACAUUUUCACAAAAUUUACAUCUCUCUCUCCAUAGUUUAUAAAACUAUAUAAGAGAUAUAUAUUUUGUGAACAAUGUUACAGAUAACUUUGUUGGAUGAAGAAAUGACCAAAAUAAAAGUUAUAGAUCCUGAUGAGUUAUACAACUUUAUUGUUGAUGACUCUUUCAGUUGAAAUC